rnacentral:snoRNA from 2 species
ACAUCUGCACCUGAGCGUGAGGCAGGCUAUCAUUGAUCUUGUUUAAGAAUCGACUUUAGUCAUCGAUGACCGUUCACCACGAGAACUCGUCUCUCAUGGGAGGGUGUGGAUGUGAUCUGA